rnacentral:rRNA from 1 species
UCACGCAUCGCGUCUCCCCCAAAGCCACCCCGAGUGGAGGGGAAGGAGGAUGGUCUCCCGUGACUCACCGGUCGCGGCUGGCCUAAAAUUGGAGCCCUCGGCAUGGGGAUGCCGCGGCGAUAGGUGGUGAACAAGGCCUCGGCCAAGCAAGCAACCCGUCGCGCAUCGCCGUGCCAAUGUGAGCUCGAAGGACCYAUUCACGUUGCCUUGUUGCAACCAAACCGUNNNNNN